AAACAUUGCUUUAUGUAAUAUAUAAGGUUAACCCUGCUCAAUGACAUGUUAAAUAGCCGCAGUACUUUGACUGUGCAAAGGUAGCAUAAUCAUUUGGCUUAUAAUUGGAGUCUGGAAUGAAUGGGAGUAUGGGUAGUAACUGUCUUACCAUAAAUAAGUGAAUUUACUAAUUAAGUGAAAAUUCUUAUAAUUUAUAUAAUAGACGAGAAGACCCUAGAAAUUUUAUAUAUUUAUGUUUACCUAAGCUAUUUUGUUGGGGCGACAGAACAACAUAAAAACUUGUUUAUUUUUAUUUGACCUUAUUGAAUAGUAUAAUUAAAUUACUCUAGGGAUAACAGCAUAAUACAAAAGAGUUUGUGACCUCGAUGUUGGACUAGGAAUGUUAUUGUUUAAAAGAUAAUAAUAAAGGCUCUGUUCGAGCUGGUACUCCUACGUGAUC
rnacentral:rRNA from 1 species